CAUGAUUCUAGCUGAAAAGGGGGGUGUAUGUAAAAUACUACCUGACACCAUGACUUGUUGCACUUAUAUCCCAGAAAACACAGGUCCAAAUGGUAAAGUCACUAUGGCCAUAGCGAAGUUAGAGAAACUCUCAGAGGAGUUGAAAAGGAAUUCUGGGGUAACAGAUCCCUGGGAAAGGUGGUUUGGUUGGAUGUCAAGUUGGCAGAAAGCUUUAGUCCAUAUUGGUAUGGCUGUACUAAUUUUCCUUUUUGUUCUCGCUCUUCUCGUUUGUUG